rnacentral:rRNA from 1 species
ACAUACGGCCAUGUGGUGCAUUGACACACCUGAUCCCCUCGAUCUCGGAAGUUAAGCAAUGUACAGUCCGGACAGUACUUGGAUGGGAGACCACCCAAAGGACUACCGGAUGCUGUAGCCC